rnacentral:rRNA from 1 species
GUGCCAGCGCCGGGUAAUACCGGCAGCCCAAGUGAUGGUCGCUGUUAUUGGGCCUAAAGCGUCCGUAGCUGGCCGACCAAGUCUCCCGGGAAAUCCGCCCGCCCAACGGGUGGGCGUCCGGUAGAAACUGGCCGGCUUGGAACCGGAAGGCUCAGAGAGUACGUCCGGGGUAGGAGUGAAAUCCCGUAAUCCCGGACGGACUACCGAUGGCGAAAGCACUCUGAGAAGACGGCUUCGACAGUGAGGGACGAAAGCGCGGGUCUCAAACCGGAUUAGAAACCCAGUAGUCC